UACGUAGGGUGCUAGCGUUGUUCGGAAUCAUUGGGCGUAAAGCGCGUGCAGGCUGUUACAUAAGUCAGAUGUGAAAUCCCUGGGCUCAACCGAGGAAGUGCAUUUGAAACUAUGUAGCUAGAAGAUGGUAGAGGAAGGUGGAAUUCCAAGUGUAGAGGUGAAAUUCGUAGAUAUUUGGAGGAAUACCGGUGGCGAAGGCGGCCUUCUGGGCCAUUCUUGACGCUGAGACGCGAAAGCGUGGGUAGCAAACAGG
rnacentral:rRNA from 1 species